AAUCAACGCUGGCGGCGCGCUUAACACAUGCAAGUCGCACGAGAAAGGGAGCAAUCCUGAGUAAAGUGGCGUGCGGGUGAGUAACACGUGGGAAUCUACCUCUUGGCGGGGCAUAACCCUGGGAAACCGGGGCUAAUACCGCAUAAGCUCGUGAGAGGAAAGCAGCAAUGCACCGGGGGAGGAGCCCGCGGCCGAUUAGCUAGUUGGUGGGGUAAUGGCUCACCAAGGAGAAGAUGGGUACCCGGCCGGAGAGGGCACACGGCUGCAAUGGCACUGAAGCACGGACCAGACUGGUACGGGGGGCAGCGGUAGGGAGUAUUGUACAAUGGGGGAAAACGUAGUGCAGCGACGCCGCGGGAGCGAUGAAGCGCUUCGGAGUGUAAAGCUGUUUCGAAAGGAACGAUAAUGACGGUACCUGGAGAAGAAGCUGCGGCUAACUACGUG
rnacentral:rRNA from 1 species